UACGUAGGAGACGAGCGUUGUCCGGAGUUACUGGGCGUAAAGGGUGCGCAGGUGGCGGCGCGCGUGGGGGGUGAAAUCGCCCGGCUUAACUGGGCGGGGGCCUUCCAGACGGCGUGGCUUGAGCAGCGGAGGGGGACGUGGAAUUCCGGGUGGAGCGGUGAAAUGCGUAGAGAUCCGGAGGAACACCGACGGCGCAGGCAGCGUCCUGGUCGCUUGCUGACACUGAGGCACGAAAGCUGGGGGAGCAAACAGG
rnacentral:rRNA from 1 species